GAACCGUGCGAACGUUGUUCGGAUUCACUGGGCUUAAAGGGCGCGUAGGCGGCGCCGCGAGUCGGGGGUGAAAUCUUCCCGCCCAACGGGACGAGGGCCUCCGAUACUGCGGCGCUCGAGGGAGGUAGGGGUGCGCGGAACUUCCGGUGGAGCGGUGAAAUGCGUAGAUAUCGGAAGGAACGCCGGUGGCGAAAGCGGCGCACUGGACCUCUGCUGACGCUGAGGCGCGAAAGCCAGGGGAGCAAACGGGAUUAGAUACCCCGGUAGUCCUGGCCCUAAACGAUGGGCACUAGGUAGUGGGCUUGCAUGGGCUCACUGCCGGAGCGAAAGUCUUAAGUGCCCCGCCUGGGGAGUAUGGUCGCAAGGCUGAA
rnacentral:rRNA from 1 species